GACGAACGCUGGCGGCGUGCCUAAUACAUGCAAGUCGAACGCACUCUCGUUUAGAUUGAAGGAGCUUGCUCCUGAUUGAUAAACAUUUGAGUGAGUGGCGGACGGGUGAGUAACACGUGGGUAACCUGCCCUAAAGUGGGGGAUAACAUUUGGAAACAGAUGCUAAUACCGCAUAAAACCUAAACACCGCAUGGUGUAGGGUUGAAAGAUGGUUUCGGCUAUCACUUUAGGAUGGACCCGCGGUGCAUUAGUUAGCUGGUGAGGUAAAGGCUCACCAAGACCGUGAUGCAUAGCCGACCUGAGAGGGUAAUCGGCCACACUGGGACUGAGACACGGCCCAGACUCCUACGGGAGGCAGCAGUAGGGAAUCUUCCACAAUGGACGAAAGUCUGAUGGAGCAACGCCGCGUGAGUGAAGAAGGUUUUCGGAUCGUAAAACUCUGUUGUUGGAGAAGAAUGUAUCUGAUAGUAACUGAUCAGGUAGUGACGGUAU
rnacentral:rRNA from 1 species